UCCCAUCUUUUUUGACUUAGGACUAAGGCAUAAAAAGCAUCAAGAAAUAUGUCUCUUGCUCAACUAUCAUUCAAAGAAGAGUAAUUUUAGAUUAACAAUGGUUAGAAUAUGCAAAUGAGACUUCAUCUUUGAACAAACUCCAUUCUCCUACAGUCUCCAUCUCACUAAUGUUUUUCAUCUUUCUGUUUCUUCUUUGGGCCCUCUGUUCCAUCUGCCUGGGCCACCACUGCAUGCAUACAAGCCUCCUGUGCUCCGCCCAUGCCAAACCCAGAUGGCCUCAGCCAUCAUCCAUGGUUCUGGGCACAUAACCUCGUUCCUUCAUGCCAGGGGUGUCACAGAUGUCCCCAGCCUCUUUCCUAAGUGGUUGCGCUAGAUGCUAGCCUCCUUUCGAAGUAGAUAGGUUGAACCCAAUCAAAGCUGAUGAGGAC
rnacentral:lncRNA from 1 species